rnacentral:lncRNA from 1 species
UUUCAUGGAAUAAAAUGAGUUUUAUAGAAACAAAACCUAUCUACUAUGUUUUCAACAUAUGGAGAUUUGGAAAUCGGAAAAAGUCUACAUAACCCCCCUCAACUAUUCACAGUGUAGUCUACUUCACCCCCGAACUAUAAACCAGAUAUUCUAUCAUCUGAACUUUCAAAACCGGUCAAAUAACCCUCUCAAGUGGUUUUGGAGGGUGGUUUUGUCUUUUUUCUUUUUUAUUUAUUUUCGCUGAAUGUUUGCAAAAUCAUAACAAAUCAUAGAAAAAUAGUAAAAUGAAAAUUAUAAUUUUGUUGGCUCUAGAUGAGUAGAUCUACACAGUGAAUAUAUAAUAUAGUAUACUUUAGUACAAAGUUUUUGUUGUAACUUUAAAUCUAUAUUUUUCUAUAAUUAAUUAGAAUAAUUCAUAUAUAUGGUUUCUAUGGUCCAAUUAUGGUAAAAUUUUUAUGGUGGGCUCAUUAUUGUAUGCUUGA